GGUAGUCAUUUAUUGUUGUCUUCAAAUCAGCUCACUUCGGUCAAUACUCCAGGCAAAAAAAACAAUGACUUUUGACUGUGUUGCAAACAUCCAGAGGAAUGCACUGAAACCCACCAUGACGAAAUAAACAAUUGUUUACAGGGGCGAAACAUGCCGAAUGCUCCGUAAAAAAUUGAUAGAGAUGGAAUUCACGGCACAAACAGUUUACAAAAUGUUUUGAUUUAGGCUAUAAAAAUGGAUUUUAUCAAAGAAAACAACACUUCAUUUGAUCAAUGGGACACUCAAGAAGAGAAAUAAGAGCAAGAUAUCAGAAUUUGUCACUCUGAAAUGUCCCCUGAUGUUGGUCCCUGUACGAGGAUCGCAGCCAUAACUUAACAUCAGAGUGAGCUUAUCAACCAUCCUUAAGAAACACCAUCUUUAGAUGAAGCAAAUCUACAGAGUCCCGUUUGAAAGGAAUUCCCAAAGAGUGAAGGAUAAACGGUACGAAUAUGUGCAAAGAAUCAUGGAGUUGGAUGCAAGUCCCAUCCCCAAAGAACUCCUAUUCACCGAUGAGGCUGCGUUCAAUUUAGAGAAGACAAGGAGGAGAGGAAGGAACAUCCUUGGUCAACGCGCCCUCAUUGAGGUACUUGACCAGCGCGGGCCAAUGUCGUCAUAUGCACAGCAAUGAGCCACAAUGGGGUAAUCCACUGCCAUGCCACCCUUGGACCAUAGAACACUGCCCAAAUCCUUCCUUUCCUGAAGACCUUACAUGACAAUCUUUUUAGCCAGAGCAGAGAGGGCCAGGUGAUCCUGAACAGCAAAUGUAUGUUCUGAUUUGGGACAACGUGAGUUUUCUUCGGGCUGCUCAGGUCCACAACUCCUUCCAUGACCAUCCCAGGUUUACAAUUAUUUAUCUCUCACCAUAUUCUCCAUUUCUCAACUCCACUGAGGAGUUGUUUUCAGCAUGGCGGUUGAAGGUAUAUGAUCACAAACCCCAUGAACGUAUGGCCCUUCUCCAGGCAAUGGAGGAGGCCUGUGGUGACAUUUCAACAGAGUUCUGUCAGGGGUGGAGGCGUCAUGUCAGAAGAUAUUUCCCGCGCUGUCUGGCCAAGGAGAAUAUUGCCUGUGAUGUUGAUGAAAAUCUGUGGCCGGACCAAAACAAGAGACAUGACUGAUUUUAUUUUUGCAAUGGAUUAUUUGUUUCUUGACAUGAUUUAGAUGUUACUAUGUUUGAAACAGUUCAUUUAUUGAUUCCGUACAAUUGAUCUAAUUAAUAUACAGUACAGUAGUACAAAUAGGCCUAUUUUUCUUCCUUUGUAUAUGCAAAAUGUAUUUACUUGUCAUGUUGAGAUAUAUAAACGAAAAUGUUUGCAUGUGUGUUCCUUUCUUGUUUGAGUAAACACAGACAGUAUAAAGUAUAAAAACAAAAUCUUAGUCUUUUCACUCAAAUAGGUUAUGUUAGUAGUGUUUUGAAUAUGUCAUGUUAGUGUGAUCUCGGUUGUCGCUAAGUUACAUUCAUUUGAUGUGUGUGUGUGUGUCUCAUUUGUGUGCAUAAUUCAAUUUUGAGCAGGGAGGACAGUGGGGAGAACAAGUAUUUGAUACACUGCCGAUUUUGCAGGUUUUCCUACUUACAAAGCAUGUAGAGGUCUGUAAUUUCUCUCAUAGGUACACUUCAACUGUGAGAGACGGAAUCUAAAAAUCUAAAAAAUCACAUUGUAUGAUUCACAACAUUGCAGACAUGCAGAGAUGCAGAGAAUGAAGUGGAGCUACUUCUAAGUAACUUUGGAGCUUUGCUUUGGUGUGGAUUGAGGUCUAUGCAUUCAUAUCAGUUAUGUUUCUCCACUGUAUUCACCUUUCCUUACUUCAGCAAUAUUAUUGGAUUUGAUGUGUAUGAAGUUCGGUCAAAUAUGCAUAAAAGAAGGGUCAUUUCCCAUAAUUAUGCACCUUUUGAAAGUUGUAUUUCCAAUUUUAAUCAUCAUGAUUUAGUGACUGCAAUCUCUGGAUUUUUAAGACUCUUUCUGUUUUGUCAGUUUAGACUCAAGAGAAAUGUAUGUUUGUGUUAAUCUUUUUGCAGUAUGAGUGACAAUACCCAUAAAACCUAGCAGUCAAACAGGGAAAUAGUUCCAAUCGUUUUUCCACCAUUCAUUUUUCCCAUAGGGGAUUUCAGAAACACUACAAAUCAGGGCUGUAUUUCGUGUAGGCCUACGCUGGCGUGACGUUUUGGUAACCGUGGAAAUCUCUCCAGGAUAAGGUGACUUUUAUCAAUGUAUUUGCCUGUAUUUACCCCCUAAAAAUGAAAUGCUAAUUAGCUGCUAAUGUGGAAGAAUCUCUCGAUUAACUAUCUAAUGUUAGCUAAAUGUAGUAAUGAAUAAAUUGGGUACAUUUCUCUACAUUUCCAUUUAAUGGACAAUUCUCUGCUGUCUUGUGCAAGUUUAAAAUGACACAAUACCCGUUAGCAAAGGUGUCAGCUAGAGAUGACGUGCAGGAGCUUGCAGGGAUUUGUAGUCUUGUAUGAUGUCUACUUUGAUGCUAAUGAGCCUUUUCGAAUCUGAGCAUAAAUGGAGCUGAAUAUAUUGAUAAAAGUCUCCUUGUCCGAAAGAGAUUUCCAUGUUUAUCAAAACGACCGUAGCCAAUACGAAACACAGCUCUUAUUAUGGGGUUUUAAAACCCCUAUGGGACAAAUGAAUGGUGGAAAACGAUUGGAACCAUUUCCCUGUUUGACCGUUUUUGUGGGUAUUAUGACGUGUUAGCAUAUCUUUGGGGUAUGAUAGUUGUGCCUCUGUAACAUUGUCACUCAUCAUUAUUCACGAUGAAUUCAUUAUUAUCUGUAACCAUGGUAGCAUCCACAUUAAUGUAGAGGUGUUCAGAAACAUAUUCAA